UACGUAGGGGGCAAGCGUUGUCCGGAUUUAUUGGGCGUAAAGAGCGUGUGAGGCGGCUAGAUAGGUCCGGUUGUGAAACUCGAGGCUCAACUCGAGACGUCGAUGGAAACCAUCUGGCUAGAGUCCGGAAGAGGAGAGUGGAAUUCCUGGUGUGAGCGGUGGAAAUGCGCAGAUAUCAGGAAGAACACCCGUGGCGAAGGCGGCUCUCUGGUACGUGACUGACGCUGAGACGCGAAAGCGUUGGGGGAGCAAACAGG
rnacentral:rRNA from 1 species